UUUAUUCUGUAAUAACUCAAACAAUUGCCAUUAUCUUAAUAAUGGCAUUAUACAUUUUAAUUUUUAUGGCACAAAACCGCACAAACCAAGUGGAUUUUUUUUUUGUGCCAAUUGUAGUGGGGGGCACCUUCACGCUGCCACUUUUAUUAUAGAGUUUCUGAGUUGGGGCUAUAUUGAAAUAUAUGCAAAGAUUGGCCAAAAUCAGCUGCUUCCACCCAUAAAGCAGAGUAUAUUAAAAUAUGUCCAUCACCCAGGCAAUUCCAUGAGCAACUGGGUGCAGCAAUAUGUAGCAUAAAGUAAAACGUGGAAUAGAAAAUCUUACACCACUGUACUGUAACUUCUAAUAGGAAAACAAUUGUUAAAAAAAAAAAGCAAAGUAAUACAUUAGAAACAUGCGUAAAAAUAAUUAUACUCUGUGAUCGACUGUAAGUGAACAUUUAAACUCCUACCUCACCAGCAGGCAGCUCAACCAAUUGGGGGCCCUCUUGUUCUGAGUAAACCUGCUCAGUCAACUAGUAGAAGCCAUACUAUAGCCACUUUUUAUACUUUGCCCAGACUACAUGUUUAUGGCCCACACUUUGUGCAGAGAUCGGUGGCCUGCUGACCGUGUGAUUACACAGGGGCACUGAAGAUAAUUCUCAGUUGUGAACAUGAUUGACAAAGUCUGAUGAUUGGGUGGGAGCUUUAAAGCAGUGUUGCAGUUGUAAAUUACAUUCAUCAUUUAACUGUGGGUGAAGAGCAUCCUCUACCCAGUAAGACGUGCAAUCGUAUAAAGUUGUUUUGGUGGUUAGUCUGACCAUUUAAAUUCUCCAAAUGAUCAUAUUAGGAGGAACAGGUUGGUGCGAUAUAAAUAUUGAUAAUAGUGCAGAAUAUGAAUGUAAACAUUGCAAAGUACUGUUUUACACAGAAGUGUCCGAGCUUGAGCCUCCACCUUUUGGCCAAAUUGCCCAUUUAAUUUUCAUUGAGCUCUGUGAUGGCCAGUGGGUUAGUAUGUCCAUUGAGGGCUGUAAAUAUUGUACAUUUAUGCCAAUACACUCUAUUAAAUUUAUAAUCACAGGGAAUAUACUUUGUGGUUUUCAGAGACGUUUUAGCUGAAAACUGCUUUCUUAACCCCUUAAGGACACACGACAUGUGAGACAUGUCAUGAUUCCCUUUUAUUCCAGAAGUUUGGUCCUUAAGGGGUUAAGGCCAAAUUCAACAUAAGAGCCUCCCUGUCCCCCCUGUCAGAUAAUGUACUAUAUAUUAUAUUGAUGGCAGAGGUUACAGGGAAUAAAACCAGCUGAGUACGUGCAGGCAAAGUUCCAAGUUCCUGGUGGUAGAUUGUAAAUCACACCUUCUAACAGAAUGUCGGACCUUCACUAAAGAACAGCUUGGAAAGUCUCCUAUAUUGCUGUAUUGUCUGAUUGGAUGUGCCAAACUUUAUAUUUGCCAUAGUAACUGGUGUAUGUGUGGUUUCUACAUAAAGGCAAACUAGAAUUUUAGAUUGGGACUUGUUUAGUUCUUUACACACAUGGGAAAUCAAAAUCAGGAGUUGCCAACAUGAAGAAUUAGCAUAUAGGCUGGUGAAGCAUCAUGGGAAAUGUCGUUUUUCUUUCUUUUUGAUAGCUGCCUGUUGGUUACUCCUGAUUUUAUAUUUUCAAAGUGCAUGCAGCAUGGGAGGCCCAAAGCCUGCCUUUCUAGACUCCCUUUGGCUGUGUACUAUAGAUUGCAACAUGGAGCUGCAGACACAAACCCUUACCAGAAUAGAGGCUGAGUGUUUGCCACCUGUUACGCUAUAUCAUGGUUGCCCAGUGUUUGAAGAUAGACUGUAUUUUAUAUACUGAACAAAUAAAGCAUAUUUACAUUA